CCUACGGGUGGCAGCAGUGGGGAAUAUUGCACAAUGGGGGAAACCCUGAUGCAGCGACGCCGCGUGAGUGAAGAAGUAAUUCGUUAUGUAAAGCUCUAUCAGCAGGGAAGAAAAUUACGGUACCUGAGUAAGAAUCCCCGGCUAACUCCGUUCCAGCAGCCGCGGUCAUACGUAGGGGGCAAGCGUUAUCCGGAUUUACUGGGUGUAACGGGAGCGUAGACGGCAGUGCAAGUCUGGAGUGAAAGGCGGGGGCUCAACCCCCGGACUGCUCUGGAAACUGUACGGCGGGAGUGCAGGAGAGGUAAGUGGAAUUCCUAGUGUAGCGGUGAAAUGCGUAGAUAUUAGGAGGAACACCAGUGGCGAAGGCGGCUUACUGGACUGUAACUGACGUUGAGGCUCGAAAGCGUGGGGAGCAAACAGGAUUAGAUACCCCAGUAGUC
rnacentral:rRNA from 1 species